UACGUAGGGGGCAAGCGUUGUCCGGAAUUAUUGGGCGUAAAGAGCUCGUAGGCGGUUUGUCGCGUCUGCUGUGAAAACUCGGGGCUUAACUCCGGGCCUGCAGUGGGUACGGGCAGACUAGAGUGCGGUAGGGGAGACUGGAAUUCCUGGUGUAGCGGUGAAAUGCGCAGAUAUCAGGAGGAACACCGGUGGCGAAGGCGGGUCUCUGGGCCGUAACUGACGCUGAGGAGCGAAAGCGUGGGGAGCGAAACAGG
rnacentral:rRNA from 1 species